rnacentral:rRNA from 1 species
GACGAACGCUGGCGGCGUGCUUAACACAUGCAAGUCGAACGGAAAGGCUCCAGCUUGCUGGAGCACUCGAGUGGCGAACGGGUGAGAAACACGUGGGUAAUCUGCCCUGAACUCUGGGAUAAGCCUGGGAAACUGGGUCUAAUACUGGAUAUGACCUUUCUCCUUAGGGGGUUUGGUGGAAAGUUUUGCGGUGUAGGAUGAGCCCGCGGCCUAUCAGCUUGGUGGUGGGGCGAUGGCCAACCAAGGCGACGACGGGUAGCCGGCCUGUGGGGGUGAUCGGCCCCACUGGCUCUGACGUGCGGCCCCGACUCCUACGGGUGGCCGAAGGACGGAAUCUUGCACCAUCCGCGCCGGCCUGAUGCUGCGGCGCCUCGGGUGGUAUGACGGCCUUCUGGUUGUAGACCUCUUUCAUCAGGGACGAGGCGUAUCUUACGGUACCUGCAGAAGAAGCCCCGGCUUACUUUGUGC